AUUACCAUACUUCACUGUCUUGUAAAGGACCCAAGUCUUUUUCAUCAGGAAUGCUUGGAAAUCUUCCUUUCAUGAAAGGUUUCAGCACUGCCUUGGGGAAAAUUCAAAACAGGAAUAUAUUGUCAUCAAUGAUUCUCAGCUGACUGGUUUUGCCCUAUGAACUCUACCAUGUACCUACAGUUAUCCUUUGCAGCGCAUGAAGAUCCUCACGGACUGACAUAUGUAUCAAAAAAGAAGAAAGAAUGGCUUCCAUAUUCAAAAGUAAGCACAACAUUUAUGCAUACUUCAUAGCAAUACAAUAUGGAUUCUUUUUGGAUGAGUGUCACUGAUAAUUCUGGAAACAAAGCAUAUUUCCUCAUUCAGAGUAUUUGACGUGGAAUCCGAAUGGUUUCCUGGCACUUUGUGUGAAUAUUAGAGAAUGUUGAAGACUAUCUUGAAGAUAUACAGUGGAUUCUUCCCCAUAGGGCAUUCCUGGGUGGCCAGUGAAGCAGAGACAGUAGUUUCUGUCAUAAUAGUUAGCCACAUUGGAGAAGAACCUGGAUUGGAAUUUAAAUCUUCUACAUCUUAACACAUGAUCUGAUUCAUUAGAUGACAAUGCCUCCCUUCUACAAACAGUCUGUUUCUCAAUAAGGAAGUUUUGGACAUCUCAGCAAAAGCUGGAUUAACCAGAACCUUCAAUAAACCAGAAAUUUGGGGUGAAUGGACAAAAGCAAGACUUCAUUUCUACCAGAAAGUAAAAGCCAAGUUAAAAGAAAGGAAGCUAAUAUCAAUAAUUCCAGUUUAAAACACAUAUACACAACCCAGUAAA